rnacentral:rRNA from 1 species
UACGUAGGGUGCAAGCGUUGUCCGGAAUUAUUGGGCGUAAAGAGCUCGUAGGCGGUCUGUCGCGUCUGGUGUGAAAACUCAGGGCUUAACCCUGAGCUUGCAUCGGGUACGGGCAGACUAGAGUCUGGUAGGGGGAUCUGGAAUUCCUGGUGUAGCGGUGGAAUGCGCAGAUAUCAGGAGGAACACCGGUGGCGAAGGCGGGUCUCUGGGCCGAUACUGACGCUGAGGAGCGAAAGCGUGGGGAGCGAACAGG